rnacentral:lncRNA from 1 species
AAACCAGACCAGCCUCAGCUCUUCUAAAACUCCAGGUAGACAGUGUCCGACAUGAGCUGCUACCAGGAAAGGUUUUCCUCGGAGGAUGACUACUGCACCUACGCGUCGAAAAUGGAGAAGAAGACAGACAUGACUAAAGGGCCUCACUUCCCUCAGCUUCACACUGUGAUCAAGCACAAGGAGGUCCAUAUGGAAGAGGACGAGUCACGCCCUGGAAUCUUUGGCCGGCCGAGGCACGAGGAGUGGUCUGAAGAGGAGACCUAUGAAAUGUCUGAGACCACCUACGCAGGCGACAUGGGCAUGAAAGGGGGAGAGCGCAUCAGGCGCAAGGUGUAUAUAUGAGACUAUCAUCUAUAUAUAGUUCUGUGGUGAUGGAUGCCAUGGCUUGGCAUCUUUAUAUAUAGAAUAAAUCUCGGGCUUAUCUGCUGUAUAUCCAUAUGAAUAAUACUAUACUUCUCUAGUACUCAAGCUAUAGCUCUAUACUUUAGCCUACUACAUUCACUCUUGAUAUCUUUAGUACGCGCGUGUUUUCAGGUAAAUUUUUUGAGAAUACUACCCAACUCUUUCCCCCUUCAUUUUGAUAAUAUAAUCGGGAAAGAAGUAGGCUAGUCUCCGCUUUGAAUCCUAAAUAUAUUGGUGCAAGAUCGACCGAUGGCAUUCUAAAAUGUUGAUCCAAGCCACUGAUAAUGAUAUAUAUAACAUGUAAGACAUCCGCAAGAAUCAAGUAUUUUGUAAGUUAUCUAUCUAUUAUGCAUCAAGGGGAUGCAAAUGGACGGCAUGAGUAGUGCUAAUGUGUUAAAAUGCAUGAUAGGGUGUGAGAAAAAUUUUGAAUCCAGUCCAUCGAUUAUGAUCGCUCCAUAGAAAGCAUAUGUCAAAUAAAGUUCAAUAUGUUUGAGCACUUCUAAGUCAUAUGUAAACAUGAACUAGAUCGAACAACAUGUAUGAUGAAACCUUUUUGUUUUUGAAGAUUGUUUAUAAAAGGUUUUUGAGCUUUUGGAAGCAAAGUUUAUAGCUUUCAUAAAAAGAGUGAAAAUAAAAUCAAGGAAUAGUAAAAGUUUUGUGCAGAUGCUACCUCGGACAUCAAUCUGCAUGUAGGAAUAGCCAAAUAGGACCUGCAACUCUGUUUCCUAGGGGAAAAAAAAAAAAGCUGAGAUUUUAGGGACGGUUGCAAAAUGUUGCAGUUCCCGUUUUCUUCAGAUUUUCUAAAGCUGGAACUUUCUCGGUUUUGUUACUUCAAGUUCCUUUCUGAGAACUCAGAAAUUCUAACAUAUUUCUGUAGCAAUUUCCGAAGCUGUUUUAAUGAAGCUGUAACUACUACCUAUCAUUAUGGUUUUUAACUUACAGGCUUGAAGCAUAACGCGCUCCCAGUUGCACCCCUAUUUUAAGUGUCUUUGGAGCAUUUUUCAAGACAAAACGAGAACAUAGGAUAAUUUUUGGCCCAGAUCUUGCCACAUAUCGCCGCAAGUGUUGGCUGAUUCUCCUUCUUGAUUAAAGCAGACAAUGCCAGUGAUCAAACACAACAUAAGUUCACGUAUAUAAGCAAUUCACUAAGAUCUACACCAAAGAGGUGCAGUGGCAAAGAAGCAACCAACUCAGAGAACCUUUGGAAGAAGGCUUAGCCCAAAGAAGGCACAAACUUUGCCCUCCCCUGAGGCCAUCCUUUCAGAUCCCUCGGUUCCCACCACCUUCUCUCUCCCUCUCUCCUGCGGACGUGCCGGUGCUGCAGCGCAGAGAGAGACCCUGCAUCAAUGCCAUGCGGAUUCGUGCAAAGCAAACUAACGUUCCCCAUGCCAAAAGCGGAUUACUCUACUGCCUCUAUAUAUAGAUCUCUUGCUUUCUUCUCAGCUCGCCACUCUUUCUUCCACCGAUUCUUCCAGAAUUAAUAUUAGAGCCAUGGCUGUCUUCCGUCGAGCCUAUUUGUUUCGAGAUAUCUUCCGUUGAUGAGUGACUUGCUCGUCUUUCAUGGUCACUUGACGACGUUGGUGCCCUGAAGUCGCGCCAAUGGCAACCUCGCGUUGACGUGGGGGGAAUUAAGCUCGUUUCUAUGGGUGCUCUUCUUGCUUUAUUUUCCGCUUUCUGCUCUCUAACGUAUGGGAAUUGAUUUGUGUGAGGUUGGAAGGGGAUCCAAGUGUAUGGUGAUAUAAUAGCAGCCUUAAAUAUCAGCUUUUUGCUAUUCUAAUAUUGGGUUCGGGUUGUAUCUUCCGUGGGAAAGAAUGAUUCAUCUUUUUUUUCCACGAGGUCAACCAUUGGAUUGUGCAACGGCCACUUUAAGAUCUGUGCAGGUGGAUGAAAAAAAAAAGAGUUUGGUGUGCUUUGGAUCAUUCUUUCACGUGAAAGAUACAACCUAGAUCCUUUGAUAUAUGCACAUUUCCGAAGUGGUCAAAGUGUUUACCAUAAAGAAGAUUGGAGUCUUGAGUGCUCAAAAGAUGUUCGUAGCUAUAAGUGAGGUUGCAUAUUGCACCUAUAAGACUUAUUGAAUGUAUAGUGAUUGUAUGGAGUUCCUCCUCCACCAAGAUGGUCAUGACCUCGCAUUAAGAAUUGGCUGUGUUGUUAUAUUGAAUAAUCAAUAUUAACAAUCCACUUUAAAAAUCAUUGUCAAGGAUAGAGAUGCGAACUUGGUUGAAAUAGCUUAUAAGUGGUCCCUUAACUUGAAAUAAUAGAAUACCUUACUACAAUUUUGUGACAAAAUCCAUGUAUUAAUAAUGAUACCCUUGAUAAGAGGCAUAGUGGUUUAUUGGAUUCAGAUACAAAUAAGGGUCUAGUUGUCCAACAUGAAAUCAACCAUAUGUUACAAUGUUAAUAUUAAAACAUAGAGAUGGUCAGACAUAUGAGACCCACAACCCAGCUAAUUACUUAAAGUUUUAAAAAUAAUUAUUUUGGAAAAAAAUAUUAUUAAGAACAAUGGUAAAUUAUUUUCAAAAGGUUUCAUGUGCAUUGAAAUCCAAUCCAAUCCACCACCAUAAGCUCUCUCACGCGCGCAUAUAUAUAUAUAUAUAUAUAUAUAUAUUCGUUAUAUAUAUAUAUAUAUAUAUAUAUAUAUUCGAAUUUGCCCCUCUUGGUUUCAAGUUAGCAUGUUUUAUAGAAUGGCAAUUUUAGAUGAAGUUUGGUCUAGGACCUCUAGGUAUAGAUGUGUAGGAAUAGAUUUGCACAAUUUGAUGAGUCGGUGAAUAUUUUGGUGUAAUUUGACAUAUUCAAUAUUCUAUUUUGCAUGGUUGCAAUUUUCUGUUUUCAAUUUUCCUUAAAAACUAAAGAAAUUGCCACGGGAAUGGUGUUUGAUAAUCUAUUUUCUUUUUUAGUUUUUUUGAAAACUUUUUCUUAGUUUCUAAAAAUUUAUGCAAGUUUAAAAUUUUGUUUCCAAAAUUUCUAAAAAUCAAACCACUCAUGAUCCUCCACCAUCAUCUUUGUUGCUAUUGCCUCUGUCACCACCUAUCAACCACUAUCCUCUCGCCAACCACAAUCAUCUCCACUAUCACUGCAAUCAGCAUUGCUAACAUUGCUGCCAAAUGCAUUCCAUGCAACCAUUAGAUGUUAGGUUUUUGAUUGAAGGAGGCUUGUUUGAGGAAUCUCUUUUAGAGAUGUAACGUGAAAGAUAAAUGGAGAAUCGACCUUGCGACCUAGAGAGGGGAAUUUCAAAAAAUUCGAUGAAAAGAGAGAAAAAGAAGGGAAUAUAUAUUUGUGGUGUGGUUAACUAAGCUGAUUGAUAUUGAUGGUAUUCGAAUUUGAUAAGACAAGGAUUAGAAUUCUUUCAUAUGAAGUAUGCGAAUGAAGAACUGGUGGUCUAGAUCAUUGAGGAAUGAGAAUAAGAAAGCGAGCAAUGAAGAUAGGAGGUGGGUCCUAAAAUUUAAAGGGGCAAGGAGGCUGCACUGGAACUAUUUGGAAAUCCCAAGAACAUUUAAUUUCUCAGGAUGGCCAUGGCCCUUGCCCCCUCCCCUGCCGGUUCCAGCAUUCACAAACUGAUGCAUUCUUUUAGUCUUCUAAAUCUACUUCAUAUAGUUUCUAGGAGCUUGGGUUGUCUCUAUGGUUCAUAAACCUUACAAGAAUGUUUACCUUCUGAUGUCAGCAUAUGAUAUAUAACGAUGACAAGUGCCUCUACCUGUGGGUCGAUGAAGAAUGGUAUGAUCAAUUCAGGUUUCCAAGCACAGAAGAACGGUACAAAGAUAGCAGCAGCAAGACAUUCAAACAUUGUUGAUCUCAGAAAACCAUGUUGCCCAUGCUGUAACGCAGCACUGGUUUGUAAGCUAGGAAAUGAUCAAGGAAUAGGAUGGACUCCAAUGGACACAGGCCUAUGUGAACUUGGAGAGGAGCACUGUACUAGUAAAGUGAAUGCAACUCAGCUAUGGUGCUCAUAUUCUGCCCCUAUGUAAAUUUCAAACUUCUCUCUUUUUCUUCUUGGGAAAUAUCGAACCUAUUCAACCAUCUGAUGGUGAUUACAAACAUUUUAAACUAACUUUUUCCAGAGCAAUUCCAAACGGUGGAGAAAUUGUUUGCAUAUGAUGAGGUAUGGGAUCACAAAGUAAUAUAAUUAUUGUCGAGUAUAUCUUUGAGUUUACGGGCUCUAGAAAGGCAAAAAAAAUCUUUUCCCCCAUGAGAGAAGCAAGUGGUGCAGAGUGCAAAGAGCGAAGCAAGCAUUAGCAUCCUUGUUUUAUUUGGGCCGCACAGGAUGAGAUAAAUUUAUUUAUAUAUUGUUCUAGAAACCGACAUUAGCAUCAGUGGGUGCUUCCAAUACCACCCAAAGCUACUGCAUCAAGGUUCAAAUUCAUGCAAUAACACUAGCCGCCUGACGCAGACAGAAGUUAGAGGAUUAGAUGCGCUUCUUAUCUUUUUUCUUUUUUUUUGGUACAGAUGCACUUCUUAUCUUCAAGGAAUAAAUAUCAUAAGGCUUGGUCUAUAAAAAGGAGGAGCCAAGGAGCUCAGAAACCAGACCAGCCUCAGCUCUUCUAAAACUCCAGGUAGACAGUGUCCAACAUGAGCUGCACCUACGAGUCGAAAAUGGAGAAGACAAGCAUGACUGAAGGGCCUCACUCCCCUCAGCUUCACACUGUGAUCAAGCACAAGGAGGUCCAUGAGGAAGAGGAGAAGCCACGCCACGGAAUCUUCGGCCGGCCAAGGAACAAGGAGUGGUCUGAAGAGGAGACCUAUGAAAUCUCUGAGACAACCUACGCAGGCGACAUGGGCAUGCAAGGAGGAGAGUGCAUCAGGCGCAAGGAGUAUAUAUGAGACCAUACAUCAAGGCAGCUUGAGAGCAUCAUCUAUCUAUAGUUCUGUGAUGAUGGAUGCCAUGGCUUGGCAUCUUUAUAUAUAGAAUAAAUCUCUGGCUUAUCUACUGUAUAUCCAUAUGAAUAAUACUAUACUUCUCUAGUACUCAAGGUAUAGCUCUAUACUUUAGCCUACUACAUUCACUCUUGAUAUCUUUAGUACGCGCGUGUUUUCAG